rnacentral:rRNA from 1 species
AUUGAGCGCUGGCGGCAGGCCUAACACAUGCAAGUCGAACGGUAACAGAAAGCAGCUUGCUGCUUUGCUGACGAGUGGCGGACGGGUGAGUAAUGUCUGGGAAACUGCCUGAUGGAGGGGGAUAACUACUGGAAACGGUAGCUAAUACCGCAUAACGUCGCAAGACCAAAGAGGGGGACCUUCGGGCCUCUUGCCAUCGGAUGUGCCCAGAUGGGAUUAGCUAGUAGGUGGGGUAACGGCUCACCUAGGCGACGAUCCCUAGCUGGUCUGAGAGGAUGACCAGCCACACUGGAACUGAGACACGGUCCAGACUCCUACGGGAGGCAGCAGUGGGGAAUAUUGCACAAUGGGCGCAAGCCUGAUGCAGCCAUGCCGCGUGUAUGAAGAAGGCCUUCGGGUUGUAAAGUACUUUCAGCGGGGAGAAAGGGAGUAAAGUUAAUACCUUUGCUCAUUGACGUUACCCGCAGAAGAAGCACCGGCUAACUCCGUG